rnacentral:rRNA from 1 species
CCUACGGGAGGCAGCAGUGGGGAAUAUUGCACAAUGGGCGCAAGCCUGAUGCAGCCAUGCCGCGUGUGUGAAGAAGGCCUUCGGGUUGUAAAGCACUUUCAGCGGGGAGGAGGGCGGUGAGGUUAAUAACCUCAUCGAUUGACGUUACCCGCAGAAGAAGCACCGGCUAACUCCGUGCCAGCAGCCGCGGUAAUACGGAGGGUGCAAGCGUUAAUCGGAAUUACUGGGCGUAAAGCGCACGCAGGCGGUCUGUCAAGUCGGAUGUGAAAUCCCCGGGCUCAACCUGGGAACUGCAUUCGAAACUGGCAGGCUAGAGUCUUGUAGAGGGGGGUAGAAUUCCAGGUGUAGCGGUGAAAUGCGUAGAGAUCUGGAGGAAUACCGGUGGCGAAGGCGGCCCCCUGGACAAAGACUGACGCUCAGGUGCGAAAGCGUGGGGAGCAAACAGGAUUAGAUACCCGGGUAGUC